CGUACCUAGACUGUAACAACAAAUAAGUCCACAAUGGAAACGAUUUAAGUGUUUCGAAAUUACCAUGAAAAUGUAAUUUUUCAAUGAAAAUAAAUUAAUUUCUUAAAUUGACCGAACGGAAGACGAUACCCGGAUAUAUGGGACUGCUGUAUGUUCAUAGCGAAAAAAGGGCAACCGUUUUUUUUCUACGUUCAUUCUGAGUGUGAAAACUGAUGAUGCGCGUGUGUACGAUACGAACACGACUGUUGGUUCUCGCCCCACUCCAUGUAUGCCGCGUUGGGGAAAUUUUUUUGUUAACAGAGACAAUCGAAAGCGUUUUGUUUUGAACAGUGGAACCACUUAUAACCAUAAUAUAUACAUCACACUUUUUCGUGGCUCUCUACUAUCAACUGCUAUCACGAAUGCAAUUUAAACAGUAUGGCGAAUAUUGAUAUUUAUGAUGGCUUUGUUUAACGACUUAUAUACAGCUGAACCGUUUGGAUUGUUGUUUUAUUUUUAGAAUAUAAACUGUUGAAUUAAAUGACUAAUGAGGUCUUAGCCAUAUCUAUUUACAC